rnacentral:rRNA from 1 species
UACGUAGGGGGCAAGCGUUGUCCGGAAUUACUGGGCGUAAAGAGCUUGUAGGUGGUUUGUCGCGUUGUUCGUGAAAUCUCACGGCUUAACUGUGAGCGUGCGGGCGAUACGGGCAGACUAGAGUACUGCAGGGGAGACUGGAAUUCCUGGUGUAGCGGUGGAAUGCGCAGAUAUCAGGAGGAACACCGGUGGCGAAGGCGGGUCUCUGGGCAGUAACUGACGCUGAGAAGCGAAAGCGUGGGGAGCGAACAGG